UAAAUUUAGUUUAAUCAGUAUUUAACUAAAUUGUUUUUGAUUAUCAGUAUAAUAUGUAUAUAUAUAUAUUAUAUUUUUAGGUUAGGAAUCAGGGAAAAAAAUGGACAGAUAUAAGACUUGGAUGGUAAAGCUAAAUAUGGGAAAACCAGCAACAAAGCACAUGAGAGUGUGUUCACUACAUUGUAAUCAGGAUGAUUUCAUAUUGAGGAUUUGAUUUGAGGACCCAGGUGGGUUAGUUAGCUUCGUGCUUGCCCACUACACCUUGGGUCGUGGGUUCGAUUCCCGCCUUGCCUUUUGGGUGUUGUGUAUGUCAUGUUUCCUGUAAUUGGGCCUCCAGCUUGUUAGAGACAUCAUAGGAUAAAAUAAAUAAAAAUAAAAAUAUUACCUGAUGUAAGUAUCAUUACUAAAGAAUUACUACCUAGAAGGCCCAAAAAUCGAGACUUUAAAGCAGUCAGAAGUACAACAAUGAGAAAAUCUGAAGGUUACAUAAUUUCAAGUACAGAUAGUACUGAUGUAAAUUGCUUCGACAGCAGUCAGUUACAUCAAAAAACUGUUUCAUCAUUAGAAAUGGAAACCGUGCAGGCUUUGUUACAUUUACAAAAUUCACAAAAAAAGGAUAAAAAUAUUCAAGUGACAAGUGGAGAUUUAGUGGCACCUUUUAUAAGUACACUUAAAUCUGAUAAUGAUUUAAAUACAAUGGCUGGAAUACCAUCCUUUCUGUUAUUUAAUGCUAUUGUUGCAAAUUGUGAGAUGUUUGGAAAAUUCUGUAAUAAACAUAAAUUAAACUUGAAAGAACGUGUUCUGUUAACUUUUAUGAAACUGAAAAAUACAUUUUCUUAUGCUGUUUUA